rnacentral:lncRNA from 1 species
CUUUUAAGUUCAUUAGACCACAUUCAUUCUGUGUCAGAAACCUAUGCUGUGUCAACUAUUUAAUUUUAGAUUUAAAAAGUUUGAAGAAGAAAUCUUUAAUUGAUUUGUAAAAUCUUGACAUUUGUUUUGUGUAAAAAAAAACCCAUGUAAUGUCAAAAAUUUGAUCACAAUCCAAAUUCAGAGCUGUAUCACGCUUGAAUAUUUUGUCCAUACUUGCCCCAACUGUUCAGGGUUCGACCUCUGCGGUCGUAUAAAGCUGCGCCCUGCGGAGCACCUGGUUG